AUACUCCUUCCCCUUAGGCCCUUUUAACUUUUCCGGAGGGAACACCAUGAUAAUCAUAUUGUCAGGUUAGAUAUUUCAUUUUAUGAUGUGGAGUUUGUACAAAUUUCUAAAUCCUAAGCCUAAGCAUCUUUUUGCUUUCAGUUUCUACUCAAGUCUCAUUCUUUUAGAUUGAGUAACUUUCUUGUAAUGAGGGAUGGGACUCCUUUCGGUGAACUUGUAUUUUUGUUUGCCCUUAUACAUUCUUUCAUAUUUCUCUAUGAAAUCCCAGUUUCUUACAUAAUUUUUUUUAUUACUUUUAGAUCCCUCUGACUUAAAAGUUCCACAAUAGUUCACUGUUGACCAGUAUCUCCCUCUGAUUUAUGUUCUCAAUGAUUUUCUGUUGACCGGUAUCUCGUAGUCUUUGUUUGAUUUGCGGAUGAAUUUUCCUUUCUUUUUUACCCAUCUUUGGUUUGAGCUUUUUCCAGCUUUAGCAAUUUUCAUGUCAGGUAUAGGUCCCAUGAUUAUGUGAAGAUCAAAUCCUUCCAUUUUGCGCUGCUUAUCUUGCUUUAAGAUUGUUUUUUCCUUCACCAACUAUUUUUCUAAAUAUUUUCUCAAUUAAAGUUCCACUAAAGAAAGUAGCGAGGCCAGGCAACAUAAUAAUCAACUUUUUUUCAAAUGAAAUACCCGCUUUCAUAUCUGAUUAAUGAAAUACAAAGCAUGGACCAGUCGAAGAAAAGCUCAAAACAGAAAAGUCCUCAGAGAUAUAAGAAUUGCAUUCUAUUCUCAUAUUUCUCAUUGGGAUUUUUUCCCCACGUUUAUACCACCUUACCCGCAUUGGUUAUUGUGUACUUAUGAUAUUUAUUUGCUUAAUUUUGGUUUUUUUCUGUCACCUGUUGGAUAGGGAAUCUUUGGAUGUGUCUGCACUUCUCUCUCUUCUGGAAGAUGCCCAUCCUCGCUUCAUGUGUAUAGAUAUUCAUUUUUUUCUAUAGAUAUUCAUUCUUCUCGUUGUGGUCGGUGAAAAUUUCUAAGAAGGUUAAAUUUUUUUCUUGGUAGUCUUACCUGGGAGAGUCAGCACUAUUAGAGUGCAUUAGGUACACUUCCCUCUUGUUAGGGCCAUAUUGGUGAAUUCUUUGUAGGGGGUGUUCGAGACUUUGGGUCAUAUCCUUGGAGAUGGAUUUUGCUCUCUUGAUUUGGAACUCAUUUAUGGAGGCAUUUGGUGUGUGCAUGACUCAAAAUGCUCCCAGAUUUUUUUUUCUCUCCAUAUUUUAUGUAUCAUUUGACUAGAAAGGAACGGGAAGAUUUUUAGAGAGUUGGAGAGGUCGUGAAAAAAGAUGUCGGCUCUUGCCAAGUGUAAUCCCUCUUUGAGUGUCUGUCUAAAGUUUUUUUCAACUAUCCUAUCAGCUUUGUUAUUUUUUAUUGGAGCUGUUAUUCUAUGGCGUUAGGUCUUUAGGUGUUGGUUCGACUCUGUUUUUUGAGUGGUGUUUUAUGUCUCUUUUGUGUUCUUUCAUUUAUUCUCUUUCGGUAAGAAAAAAGAUUCUCAUAUUUCUUUCUAGUAAGAUAUUCUAGAGAGUAGCAAAGAAAUAUUUCUUCCAAAAAGCCACCUCUUGCAUUACAAAAAAUGUUCAAGUAUAACAUAUUCUGACAACCUCUACUUAAGUAGAUUUUUAUUGAUUUGAAACUUUGUGUUGUGAUACGACACAUAAACCUUUCAGGUGCUUAAUGAAAAAUCCACACAACAGUCGACCAUUUAGGUAAAUUCCAAACAAUAAACACGAAGUACAAGCUAAAUGAACUGUAUUCAAUAAUAAAAUCUCCAACCAUGGUCGACCACUUAGGUAAAGCCCAAACAAUAAACACAAAACACAAGCUAAGUUAAAAGUACACGAUAAUGAAAUCUCCAACCAUGGCCAAUGUAAGCAUGACCUAACAUUACUCAAAGCUGUCAUCUCUGUAGACAUGCAUUAGGCUUUAAACCAUUGAGACUCUUUGGACAAAGUCUGGCAAAUCCUCCCUAAAACAACCAAGAGACCUGUGAUCGUUCGAGGCCUUUUGAGGUUCUUACUUAUACUUAAAGGACCCUUUCCACUUUUAAGCAAUGUGGAGUUCAGCCUGUUUUCCUUGUUGAAUAAUAACCAUCAGAUGCUCAACUGAAAA